rnacentral:rRNA from 1 species
UUAAGCGAAUAAGCGUACACGGUGGAUGCCCUGGCAGUCAGAGGCGAUGAAGGACGUGCUAAUCUGCGAUAAGCGUCGGUAAGGUGAUAUGAACCGUUAUAACCGGCGAUUUCCGAAUGGGGAAACCCAGUGUGUUUCGACACACUAUCAUUAACUGAAUCCAUAGGUUAAUGAAGCGAACCGGGGGAACUGAAGCAUCUAAGUACCCCGAGGAAAAGAAAUCAACCGAGAUUCCCCCAGUAGCGGCGAGCGAACGGGGAGCAGCCCAGAGCCUGAAUCAGUGUGUGUGUUAGUGGAAGCGUCUGGAAAGGCGCGCGAUACAGGGUGACAGCCCCGUACACAAAAAUGCACAUGCUGUGAGCUCGAUGAGUAGGGCGGGACACGUGGUAUCCUGUCUGAAUAUGGGGGGACCAUCCUCCAAGGCUAAAUACUCCUGACUGACCGAUAGUGAACCAGUACCGUGAGGGAAAGGCGAAAAGAACCCCGGCGAGGGGAGUGAAAAAGAACCUGAAACCGUGUACGUACAAGCAGUGGGAGCACGCUUAGGCGUGUGACUGCGUACCUUUUGUAUAAUGGGUCAGCGACUUAUAUUCUGUAGCAAGGUUAACCGUAUAGGGGAGCCGUAGGGAAACCGAGUCUUAACUGGGCGAAUAAGUUGCAGGGUAUAGACCCGAAACCCGGUGAUCUAGCCAUGGGCAGGUUGAAGGUUGGGUAACACUAACUGGAGGACCGAACCGACUAAUGUUGAAAAAUUAGCGGAUGACUUGUGGCUGGGGGUGAAAGGCCAAUCAAACCGGGAGAUAGCUGGUUCUCCCCGAAAGCUAUUUAGGUAGCGCCUCGUGAACUCAUCUUCGGGGGUAGAGCACUGUUUCGGCUAGGGGGUCAUCCCGACUUACCAACUCGAUGCAAACUGCGAAUACCGAAGAAUGUUAUCACGGGAGACACACGGCGGGUGCUAACGUCCGUCGUGAAGAGGGAAACAACCCAGACCGCCAGCUAAGGUCCCAAAGUCAUGGUUAAGUGGGAAACGAAGUGGGAAGGCUCAGACAGCCAGGAUGUUGGCUUAGAAGCAGCCAUCAUUUAAAGAAAGCGUAAUAGCUCACUGGUCGAGUCGGCCUGCGCGGAAGAUGUAACGGGGCUAAACCAUGCACCGAAGCUGCGGCAGCGACGCUUAUGCGUUGUUGGGUAGGGGAGCGUUCUGUAAGCCUGUGAAGGUGUGCUGUGAGGCAUGCUGGAGGUAUCAGAAGUGCGAAUGCUGACAUAAGUAACGAUAAUGCGGGUGAAAAACCCGCACGCCGGAAGACCAAGGGUUCCUGUCCAACGUUAAUCGGGGCAGGGUGAGUCGACCCCUAAGGCGAGGCUGAAAAGCGUAGUCGAUGGGAAACGGGUUAAUAUUCCCGUACUGGUGGUAACUGCGAUGGGGGAACGGAGAAGGCUAGGUUGUCCGGGCGACGGUCGUCCCGGUUCAAGCAUGUAGGCAGAGUGAUUAGGCAAAUCCGGUCACUUAAUGCUGAGGUGUGAUGACGAGGCACUACGGUGCUGAAGCAACAAAUGCCCUGCUUCCAGGAAAAGCCUCUAAGCAUCAGGUAACAUCAAAUCGUACCCCAAACCGACACAGGUGGUCAGGUAGAGAAUACCAAGGCGCUUGAGAGAACUCGGGUGAAGGAACUAGGCAAAAUGGUGCCGUAACUUCGGGAGAAGGCACGCUGGCGGUAAGUGAAGUCCCUCGCGGACGGAGCCGAAGCCAGUCGAAGAUACCAGCUGGCUGCAACUGUUUAUUAAAAACACAGCACUGUGCAAACACGAAAGUGGACGUAUACGGUGUGACGCCUGCCCGGUGCUGGAAGGUUAAUUGAUGGGGUUAUCCGUAAGGAGAAGCUCUUGAUCGAAGCCCCAGUAAACGGCGGCCGUAACUAUAACGGUCCUAAGGUAGCGAAAUUCCUUGUCGGGUAAGUUCCGACCUGCACGAAUGGCGUAAUGAUGGCCAGGCUGUCUCCACCCGAGACUCAGUGAAAUUGAACUCGCUGUGAAGAUGCAGUGUACCCGCGGCAAGACGGAAAGACCCCGUGAACCUUUACUAUAGCUUGACACUGAACAUUGAGCCUUGAUGUGUAGGAUAGGUGGGAGGCUUUGAAGCGUGGACGCCAGUCUGCAUGGAGUCAACCUUGAAAUACCACCCUUUAAUGUUUGAUGUUCUAACGUUGCCCCAUAAUCUGGGGUGCGGACAGUGUCUGGUGGGUAGUUUGACUGGGGCGGUCUCCUCCCAAAGAGUAACGGAGGAGCACGAAGGUUGGCUAAGCAUGGUCGGACAUCAUGCGGUUAGUGCAAAGGCAUAAGCCAGCUUGACUGCGAGAGUGACGGCUCGAGCAGGUACGAAAGUAGGUCUUAGUGAUCCGGUGGUUCUGAAUGGAAGGGCCAUCGCUCAACGGAUAAAAGGUACUCCGGGGAUAACAGGCUGAUACCGCCCAAGAGUUCAUAUCGACGGCGGUGUUUGGCACCUCGAUGUCGGCUCAUCACAUCCUGGGGCUGAAGUAGGUCCCAAGGGUAUGGCUGUUCGCCAUUUAAAGUGGUACGCGAGCUG